CGGGGGGCAGCAGUCGAGGAUCUUCGGCAAUGGGCGAAAGCCUGACCGAGCGACGCCGCGUGUGGGAUGAAGGCCUUCGGGUUGUAAACCACUGUCAAUGGGGAGGAAAUGCAGGGGGGUACUCCCCUCUGUUUGACCUAUCCGUGGAGGAAGUACGGGCUAAGUUCGUGCCAGCAGCCGCGGUAAGACGAACCGUACGAACGUUAUUCGGAAUUACUGGGCUUAAAGGGUGCGUAGGCUGCGCGGAAAGUUGGGUGUGAAAGCCCUCGGCUCAACCGAGGAACUGCAUUCAAAACUACCGUGCUCGAGGGAGACAGAGGUAAGCGGAACUCAAGGUGGAGCGGUGAAAUGCGUUGAUAUCUUGAGGAACACCGGUGGCGAAGGCGGCUUACUGGGUCUUUUCUGACGCUGAGGCACGAAAGCUAAGGUAGCAAACGGGAUUAGAUACCCGAGU
rnacentral:rRNA from 1 species